AGGAAAGGGACUUGGCAACAACCUAAUAACGCAGCCGACAGAGAUGUUCACACGUCAAGACUGGUGACGACCUUACAGCUUUUGAUAUUCCAGCAGACAGGGUCGGAUGGAGUGUGUCGAUCGUCGCAAAUUUCUGGCGAUUUUUUUUUCUAUUUUUACUGGGAAAAAAAAUUGAAAGUGUUAAUGGUGAGGAUAGCAAAAUUUCUCACUUCCUCGUAAAUUACUUCCGGGUGCAGAUGGACUGACUGCUGCGUUUCACUCCCACGCCAUCCUGGUCCUACUCAUGAAUAAUACAGAAGUGAGUGUAUUAAAGUGCAGCAUUUUAGAUUUUUGUGAACACUCGGAAAUGUGAAUUGAACUACGAAGACGUGAAUGAGGAGAGGAGGUUUGCAUGUUGGUCGGGAUCUACUACUCAAGCAGUUAAGCCACGUCCUGUGGUAAUAGGAGUUGGUUCGGUUCGAGCUUCAAAAGUGGUCGUUUUUUGCAAGAUUUUUCUGCACGAUGAAUCUUAGUUAUUACUUUUUCAUCGUGUGUGGAUUUCUACUGUCAUUUUCUGAAGCGACCCGCAUAGAGGGUUUAGACGCGACGUGUGAUCCAGACUCAAUGGACCCGAAAAGCUGCAGCGUUUGUGGCACCUCGUGGUGGGGCAAGGUCCCGCUGCUCAACAAGCCCUGGACUCGAGGGACGUGCGUCAGAGGGGACUGUGUUUGCAGAUUCAACGAAGAAGACCUGGGAAAACACUUACCCAAAACCUGCAUUCAAAAAUCCGCUUGGUCAACGACUGACAGCAAAAAAAAGAUGGUCGAACAAGCGAUUGAGCAAUCAGUUGUUCACGUGGAUUUAAGAGCACAAUUCGAUCUGUGGAAGGCAAAACACAAUAAACAAUACGCUUCAAAAGAGGAAGAUGAAAGACGAUUCAAAAUAUAUAAGGAAAACUUGAGGAAAAUUGGUAACCUGAAAGCUGACCCCAAUACAAGAACCGCCGUUUUCGGAGCAAACGUGUUUGCGGAUCUUACAAGUGAGUAGCUUUGAACUACCUUCUCGAAUUAGGAACACAAUUUCUGGUCAAUUUUAAAAAAAACCAUGUACCAUUAGUUUCCGUUUGCAAAUAGGUGUUUCUAAUAUGAGCUAGAAAUUGGAGCUCCU
rnacentral:lncRNA from 1 species